UACGAAGGGGGCUAGCGUUGCUCGGAAUCACUGGGCGUAAAGGGUGCGUAGGCGGAUUGCUAAGUCAGGGGUGAAAUCCUGGAGCUCAACUCCAGAACUGCCUUUGAUACUGGCGAUCUUGAGUCCGGGAGAGGUGAGUGGAACUGCGAGUGUAGAGGUGAAAUUCGUAGAUAUUCGCAAGAACACCAGUGGCGAAGGCGGCUCACUGGCCCGGUACUGACGCUGAGGCACGAAAGCGUGGGGAGCAAACAGG
rnacentral:rRNA from 1 species